UACGUAGGGGGCUAGCGUUGUCCGGAAUCAUUGGGCGUAAAGCGCGUGUAGGCGGCCCGGUAAGUCCGCUGUGAAAGUCGGGGGCUCAACCCUGGGAUGCCGGUGGAUACUGUCGGGCUAGAGUACGGAAGAGGCGAGUGGAAUUCCCGGUGUAGCGGUGAAAUGCGUAGAUAUCAAGAGGAACACCGGAGGUGAAGACGGGUUGCUGGGCCGACACUGACGCUGAGGCGCGAAAGCCAGGGGAGCAAACGGG
rnacentral:rRNA from 1 species